CCAUUUCAGUUUUCCCAAACUCAGUUUCUCUCUCUCUCUCUAUCUCUGUCUCUGUCUCUGUGGAUCUCUGAGAAAAGGAAAUGGAAAUAUUAUCAAUGUUUUUGUUGUUUUUGUUUGUCUUAUGGACGAUCUCAGCUACUAGGAUACUGGUUCUAGGGGAAGACCCCAACAAUCCAGGUUUCAUUAGCAUUGACUGUGGAGCAGCAAAUCCAAACAAUGACCCUGAUCUUAACAUAUACUAUGAGACGGAUGAUGGGUUUGUAGACUCUGGACACAACCAACAGGUAUCGAGCAAUUUCAUGUACAGGAGCCUACGACCAAGUUCAAAGACCUUGAGGGUAUUCCCUAACGGAACUAGGAACUGUUAUACUAUCUGACCGACCAGUGGCGGCAACAGCAGCAAAUAUCUGAUCAGGGCAGCUUUUCUCUACGGGAACUAUGAUGGUCAAAGUCAGCCCCCGACAUUUGACCUGUAUAUUGGUGUUAACUACUGGGCAACUAUCAAUUUUUCAUCCAUCGGCUCUUACAUCCAUAACGAGAUCAUCCAUGUUAUUUCGUCAGCGGAUCACACUAUACAGGUGUGCCUUGUAAAGACUAGUACCGGAAUCCCUUUCAUUUCUUCAUUGGAAUUGCGGCCGUUGAAUGACACCAUUUACCAGACUGAUGCCACAACACUUGCGCUUUACUAGCGGCUAAACAUCGGCAGCAAAGAAAUUAUCAGACACCCACAAGAUGUCCAGGACCGUCUGUGGUGGGCCGAUGAUACAAAUUACACUGCCACGAUGAAAUUCGGAAGAUGGAACUUAACAUCUGACCCUGUUCUUGUCACAAGAAGUGACUCAUAUGAUGUUCCUGUAGGAGUUCUUGAAACUUUCGCAAUGGCGGAUAGCAAUACUGGCUCCUUAAGUAUCAAUUGGCACACAACAAUCACUGCCGAUAAGUGGAUUGUGUAUUUUCACUUUGCUGAAAUGGUGGAACUGUCGCCAUUGAGAGAUUUUACUAUUUACAUCAACGGGAAGAAUCUAACCAAGAUCAGCCUCAGGCCAAUCUCUGAUCCUCAAUGCAGUCGAAAUAUAUUACCUGCUAGAUCCUUCAAGAAUUCCGACAGCCCUCGAUGAUGCGAAUGCUAUGAAUGAUAUCAAGACAAUGUAUAACGCGAUGAAAGAGAGUUGGCAGGGAGAUCCAUGUGUACCGACUAAUUUUACAUGGGAAGGUGUGACUGUAGCACCGAAGUCCUCCGAGGAUCACCUCAUUG